UACGUAGGGUGCAAGCGUUAUCCGGAAUUAUUGGGCGUAAAGAGCUCGUAGGCGGUUUGUCACGUCUGCUGUGAAAACUGGAGGCUCAACCUCCAGCCUGCAGUGGGUACGGGCAGACUAGAGUGCGGUAGGGGAGAUUGGAAUUCCUGGUGUAGCGGUGAAAUGCGCAGAUAUCAGGAGGAACACCGGUGGCGAAGGCGGGUCUCUGGGCCGAUACUGACGCUGAGGAGCGAAAGCGUGGGGAGCAACAGG
rnacentral:rRNA from 1 species